rnacentral:rRNA from 1 species
UCAGAUUGAACGCUGGCGGCGUGCUUAACACAUGCAAGUCGUACGCGAAAGGGACUUCGGUCCCGAGUAAAGUGGCGCACGGGUGAGUAACACGUGGAUGAUCUGCCUCUAUGAUGGGGAUAACAGUUGGAAACGACUGCUAAUACCGAAUACGCUCAUGAUGAACGUUGUGAGGAAAGGUGGCCUCUGCUUGCAAGCUAUCGCAUAGAGAUGAGUCCGCGUCCCAUUAGCUCGUUGGUGGGGUAACGGCCUACCAAGGCAACGAUGGGUAGCCGAUCUGAGAGGAUGAUCGGCCACACUGGAACUGAAACACGGUCCAGACUCCUACGGGAGGCAGCAGUGGGGAAUAUUGCGCAAUGGGCGAAAGCCUGACGCAGCGACGCCGCGUGAGGGAUGAAGGUCUUCGGAUCGUAAACCUCUGUCAGAAGGGAAGAAACUGGGGUGUUCUAAUCAGCAUCCCACUGACGGUACCUUCAAAGGAAGCACCGGCUAACUCCGUGCCAGCAGCCGCGGUAAUACGGAGGGUGCAAGCGUUAAUCGGAAUCACUGGGCGUAAAGCGCACGUAGGCUGUUAUGUAAGUCAGGGGUGAAAGCCCACGGCUCAACCGUGGAACUGCCCUUGAUACUGCACGACUCGAAUCCGGGAGAGGGUGGCGGAAUUCCAGGUGUAGGAGUGAAAUCCGUAGAUAUCUGGAGGAACAUCAGUGGCGAAGGCGGCCACCUGGACCGGUAUGACGCUGAGG